GACGAAGGAUGCAAGUGUUAUCCGGAAUCACUGGGCGUAAAGCGUCUGUAGGUGGUUUAAAAAGUCUAUUGUUAAAAAUUGAAGCUUAACUUCAAAGAUGCAAUGGAAACUUUUAAACUUGAGUAUGGUAGGGGUAGAGGGAAUUUCCAGUGGAGCGGUGAAAUGCGUAGAUAUUGGAAAGACCACCAAUGGCGAAGGCAACUCUACUGGGCCAUUACUGACACUGAGAGACGAAAGCUAGGGGAGCAAAUGGG
rnacentral:rRNA from 1 species